UGUCAAUUUCUCUCGCAUGAAGGGGACGAAUACAACCUUCAAAAGAUGUGAAACAAAAUUUAGGAAUGGUACAACUAAGGUCCACUGCUGCGAUAAUCACGAAACUAAAAAUGGAUUAUGCGUUGAAUGUACAACUGGAUUUAUAUCUGAUAUGGGCGAACUUUGCCAACCAUGUGGUAUUGGGUUGUACGGCAGAAAAUGUGGCGACUUAUGCAAAUGUAAUGCAAA